UCUACUUUCCUUUUUCUGUAACAGUGCUUUCUCACCUAUUUCAUAAUGCACAUAUGUAUAAUGUUGAUUCCUUAUUUUGUGUCUCCCCCUGCUAGAACAUAAUCUUCAGGAUGGCAGAGAACUUGGUUUUGACUUGACUCACUGGUAUAUGCCAAGUACCUAGACCAAUGUGCGGUAUAUUUGGUAGGUGCUCAUUAAGUAUGAGCAGAAUGAAAGAAUGAAUACACAAAAGCUGGGUUUAGUUCCAUUCCAGACACUCAGAACCAGAAAACGGCUCACACGCAUCUGUGGACUUGAGUUGUCAUGGUGGCUGGCAGGCUCUGCUGAAGGUGACUGAUGUGCUCCACCGCCCUCCCGCGGGACAAAGGCGAGCAGCUCUGCUGUAAUCACUAGCCCCGCAUCAGGGCGAAAAUGCCCAUCGAUUCGUCUCCCAUUAUACUUCCCACAUAGAAGGGCUUGAAUUUUGCUGGAGUUGCACUGGUUAUUUUUAGGGCCUAUUACUGUUUGUGACUUUGCCAUUUAGGUUCUGCCAAAGCCUCUGCUUGUGAUUAGCAGCCCUUCCGAGAACUGACGUCCGAUCAGUCAGUGGCAUUUACCAGGCACCUUCUCUGGGCACUGCCCCUACGCAAUCCAGACAUAGCCCCAGCCCCGGCAUCAGCUCUGACGGGUUUCCUCCUGCCCCGCGCAGCUCACCUCCUGGCCUCUAACUCUUCCUGGGGGCACUUCUUACAUACGGACUUCCCCCUUUAAUGACUUCCAUCCGUGUGCCUGAGAAUUAAAAAUACAACAUCCAAGCAAAAGGUUUAUCUGACAUAACAGAGGACUUCAAUCCCAGGAAAGUAAAACACACAUAAAACCACUAAUCAUGUUACAGCUGUUCGUUUAAUUUCUACCUGUAUUACAUGUGUGUAUAUAUUAUUAUUAUUAUUAAAACAGAUUAAAAACUAGACAUAAUAAAAUUAAUUUUGCAAGGCAUUUCAAUACUCUAAGUUUGAAUGCCCUCCACUUAUUUGUAAUAAAAUUUCAUAGACAAAAGAUGUUUAAUUUAAUGUUGGGGGAAAGCACUUCUAGCUGAUAAUUUUGCAGAAAAAUAAGAGAAUACUGUGUUGACUUUAGUGGAAUCUUGCUGAGUUCCCUAAAAAUAACAUCAAGAGAAAGAACACAGGUUUUCUUCUCUUGGUAAAGAGUCUACUGCAUCCCGGCCGGUGUGGCUUGGGUGUUUAGAGCAUCAUCCCCGCACACCAAAAGGCUGCAGGUCUGCACCUGGCCGGAGUUUUGAAGGACGAGUGAACGCCCCACAUCAAGGAAGAGGAGACCCUGGGAGCCCCGGGAACUGCGCAUGGUGCUGGAGAAAAGAGGAGGCAUGUUUGGAGAACAGGAAGCAACUGAAAGGCCGGGAUCUCCUCCAUGGAGACAGCAAAGGAUGAGAAAAUAUGCUCCCAAACCUCAACCAACUGUAGUCUUGAUGGAGGUUAUCCUCCAGAGCAACCUCAAUUUCCUCAAACUUCAUGAGCCAGACGCUAGGUGGGAGGGAUCACAUGAGUGGUAAUAACUCAGCUCUCUCUGGCUCCCUGCCCCACUACUGAUGCAGGGCUCCUGGUCCCCAGCAAAGCUGUCCCACGAACCUGGGAGUCUCUGUUCCUGUUCUCCCACUCCCCUCGGAUGUCCUGCCUCCAAGGUCACUCGAUGAGGCAUCUCACCACUAUACCUGUGGGGACAGGGAGUCCAUGCAGAGGCCCUCCCCACAACCCUCCCUGUGCCCGGCUACACUGAGCACUGAUGAGACUGGGGGAUGGAGCGUCACAUCUACACUCUGGGCUCACAGCAGCCCCUGAAAAUCCAGCCCAGUUUAGCCUUACAGCUCCUUUCUCCAAAGGGCUGAGACCUAAACCCCAGAGCCUAAUGAAUUUCUUCCUGAAAGUUCUUCAACAAUCUCCUCGAUUCAGUAGUUCAUUCAAUAGAUAUUAACUGAGCAACUAUCUAACAUUGCAGACUCUGAAGACAGAGUUAAAAAGAUGGCAGGCCCCUGUCCUCACAAAGCUUUUUAGCAUGUGCACGCGUGUCUAGGGAAAUACGAACAAGGGAAUAUCAGCGAUGGCUUAUGUAAUCAUGGAGGAAACGACAGGGCAGCGUGGAGGACCAGGACUGUGUGUGUGUUCAGUGGGUGGCCAGGCUAUGCAGGGGUUGGAACUGGCAUCAGGUGCUCAGGCGAGCUGCAGCCAGGUCCUCCUGCAAAAGCACUCUGAGAACAGACAUGCUGCAUCCUUACCGAUUUACAAUGCGCAGUCUUGUUUCAGGGGCAUAAUUUUGUCUGCGGACCAGGACCUCCACAAAAACUGUGAGUGGUGUGAGGGUAACUCAACGUUUAUAUAAAUGGCCUGUAAGUGUCACUUUCUCAGAAUUAUACAAUUAAUGUCAGACCCAAUUUAUGAAACACAUUUUUCAUAGUCACUAAUAUUUAAGAACCACGCUACAUACUAAUAACGUUCCCUGUUCAAAUUCAAUUAAAAUUUUUUCCACAUUCAUUUUUUUAUCUCCAUAUGUAAUAAAGGCAGUAAUAUGAAAACAACAGGAAGAAAAACUUUUGGUUGGUCUUUUCCUUGAGGGCAACUCCUUCCUUCUCACCCAGCUCUCUGUCUGAUGUGAGGUUGCCCAGUCUUUUUGGACAAGGCCUCGCUGUGAAGCACUCAGCCUGGAGAAGUAGGGGUUACGGCCCCUGUAGUCCUCUAGAAGUCCAAGAGCCCUCUGCUGGCGUCGAAGGGCCUGAGGGUCUUCACACCCACCAAACUCAGAGUGUGUGAGCACCGUGGUUGUGCAGCACCUCGAAACACUCCCCAGCACUAACAAAUCACAGCGUCCCCAUGUGCGACUGCUGCUGUCACGUGGACAGGGAGAUGGCACUCAGGGAGCCAGACCCUCUGGAGAGAAGCAGAGCGGCUCACCAGCAGCGCACGCAUCGCACCAAGGUCAGAAGGAGGUCAGCCCUGCUGCAUCACCCCUCCUCCAAUCCUUGCCUGCAUCUGAAGGGUGCUGGGUGCUGGGUGCUGGGUCUGGGCCAGGCUGGCCGCCAGCUAAGCCUGACAGGGCCCGAGACUGAUUAGCCCAGCCCGUUGGCCAGGUUCAGCAGUCUGUCCGGUUGUCAAUGAAAGCUCCCCAGAGUGUUUACGGGUCCUCAGCCGGGCACUCCCAGCAACUCUUGACAGUAUUCUCCUCCCACGCACCUCUGGUCUCUCUUUCAAACACACGCACACGCACACGCACACACACACACACACACCCCUUGCAUUUUAUAUUCCAACCAUCAAGAGUUAUUUACUGCUUCCCAUGGUCCCUGUGUUUCCUCUCAUGUAGGUACCCACACUGCUCACCUUGCCUGGAAUGGCCUCUUCUUGUUCCUGGUCAGCACCCAGACUGACUCCUUCACGACUCAGCUCAGGUAUCCAUCACCUCCUGAGGGACACUGCUCUUGAUAAUUCCAGUCUAGGUCAGGCCUCCUGCCUAUGUGGCCCACACUACACUGGGUUGACACGUAGUGGAAAUGAACUAGUCAAGUUCAUUUAUAUCACAGAAAUCAGCCCCUAGAUAGAGGGGCAAAUGAUGUCUUACUCACUUUUGUGCCUCUAGCACCUUCCACGUAGUGGAUUCUAAUCAGAGGUGAUCAAAUGAGUAAAUGAAUAAACGGUGACAUUGACGAGAAAGGGCUCAGGACAGUUGUCCCAAAGUGGAUUACAUUUCUGGUCAUUUCUAACUGGCUACUGGUCACACGGCUUAGAGAGGAGGUAGCCUACUUUCAGAUGCAGAACUGAGUACUUGCUACAGUUUCUGAUCAAUUAAUUGACUGAUUACAUCAAUCAAAACUGCAGGGCCCUUUAUAAAUACAGAAAUUCUGCAACAUACUUUCCCCUCAAAUCUCUCUUUAUAAGUAGAGUGAUUUAAUUAAGGGAUUUAUUUUAGUUUUUAAAACCCAAUGAAUUAUACAAUAAAUAAUACUGUCUAAUAUUUACUGAAAAGGUUAAAAAUAUCAAGUGUUUAUUUUCUUCAAACAAUUCCCAUAUGUACCAGAACUCUACUCCUUGAUCAUGUUUUUAUAACAAUCUUCACGAUCCUUGUCCUAAUUUGUUUAUGUGAAAAUAACUGGCAACAUCUGCAAAGCACAAGAGGAAAGAAGAGAAGGAGUUGCCCGCCGUGCUCAUGAAUGAAUUAUGAUCAGUUCCUUCCUACAUUGUCUCGUCCUACUUCAGACCCAGGCGGAGUGAGGGGUGGCGGUGGGAGGGACAGAUGUCAGGGUAGAGUUACCAGCGAUACAGUAUCACAAACCAAUAAAUAACUCAUAAGCCUUUCGCUUCCCCCUCUCCUUCUUUUCUCCUGACAUUUCCCCAGAAGGAUCAGAAAUGGUCUCCAAACAGGCUGGUCUUCCGUUAGAUCCAGGGGAUCCUGCCUUUGAAUCCGUGCUGGCCGACGGACAUGGGUGGAAUCGGCCCACUUGAUCACAAUGUAGAUAAAGAGCAGAGGCUCAGUGAGAACGUUUCGGCCAAGACCCAGAGUCCUCCCCAGAGGAGUGCAUAUAGCCCAAGGACUCCUGCUGUCAUCUACGGGACAGUCAUCUAUGUACUACAGUGAGGGGAAGCCUUGCUCCCCUUCUGGGACAUCUUCACCUACCACUGAAGAUUACUUUCCUACGUUAAUCCAUUCCAUCCUUGGCUCAGCACCUUUCCGCUCACCCCAUGUCUGGCAGAAGCCAAAGAUGGGCCAGGGGCGGCUGAGAGCUUCUGAACGCCAGCUCUCCUGAGUGACCCCUUCUUUCCUUGGCCUUUGUGACCGAGGGACCGGGGGAAGGGAGAGGCCAGGCCACACCCACGCAUUCCAGCUGCUCGAUCAUCAGAGAGGAGGUUAUGCAUGACUGGCCACCUGACCGCCACUGCUGGUCCGCAGCGUGUAGCAAGGUCCUGACAUUCCCUUCGAAGGGCUGACAAUCCAAGCAGACCUGUGUACGGAAACAGGUCCCAGUCCAGAAACAAACAGUUAACGAGACUAAGAGGACCACUCUCUACCUCUUCACGUUGCAAAAACAGCUCAAACCUACCUCGAGGCUGCAGAAUUCACUUACGUAUCCUCUGUACCUUCCUCGGCCCGGAAUAUUACUAAGAAAAAUGAUCAAGAUGAUAAGAAUAAGGCAAAUGGUGAACUUCCUGAUUCCUCUACCAUGUGGCCUAAAGGUGAAAAUCAACAUGAAUAUAUUUAACUUCCUUCUUGUAAUAGAUCUGACAUUCUUGACUUAUUUUUAAAAAAAU